CAUGCAAGUCGAACGAUGAUCUGCUCUUCGGAGUGGUGAUUAGUGGCGAACGGGUGAGUAACACGUGAGUAACCUGCCCUCCACUUUGGGAUAACUGUGGGAAACUUCAGCUAAUACCGGAUAUUGAAUACUGCUCGCAUGGGUGGUGUUUGAAAGAUUGUUUGGUGGGGGAUGGACUCGCGGCCUAUCAGCUUGUUGGUGGGGUAAUGGCCUACCAAGGCGAUGACGGGUAGCCGGCCUGAGAGGGCGACCGGCCACACUGGGACUGAGAUACGGCCCAGACUCCUACGGGAGGCAGCAGUGGGGAAUAUUGCACAAUGGGCGAAAGCCUGAUGCAGCAACGCCGCGUGCGGGAUGACGGCCUUCGGGUUGUAAACCGCUUUCACCAGGGGCGAAUUUGACGGUACCUGGAGAAGAAGCACCGGCUAACUACGUGCCAGCAGCCGCGGUGAUACGUAGGGUGCGAGCGUUGUCCGGAUUUAUUGGGCGUAAAGAGCUCGUAGGUGGUUUGUUGCGUCGGAAGUGAAAACACAGGGCUUAACUCUGUGCUUGCUUUCGAUACGGGCAGACUUGAGGAAGGUAGGGGAGAACGGAAUUCCUGGUGGAGCGGUGGAAUGCGCAGAUAUCAGGAGGAACACCAGUGGCGAAGGCGGUUCUCUGGACCUUUCCUGACGCUGAGGAGCGAAAGCGUGGGGAGCAAACAGGCUUAGAUACCCUGGUAGUCCACGCCGUAAACGGUGGGCACUAGGUGUGGGGGACAUUCCACGUUCUCCGUGCCGUAGCUAACGCAUUAAGUGCCCCGCCUGGGGAGUACGGCCGCAAGGCUAAAACUCAAAGGAAUUGACGGGGGCCCC
rnacentral:rRNA from 1 species